rnacentral:rRNA from 1 species
UACGAAGGGGGCUAGCGUUGUUCGGAAUCACUGGGCGUAAAGCGCACGUAGGCGGACUUGUUAGUCAGGGGUGAAAUCCCAGGGCUCAACCCUGGAACUGCCUUUGAUACUGCAAGUCUCGAGUCCGGAAGAGGUGAGUGGAACUCCUAGUGUAGAGGUGAAAUUCGUAGAUAUUAGGAAGAACACCAGUGGCGAAGGCGGCUCACUGGUCCGGAUCUGACGCUGAGGUGCGAAAGCGUGGGGAGCAAACAGG